rnacentral:SRP_RNA from 13 species
ACUGAGAGUAGGGGCGUGCUCCUGUAAUCAAGCUACUUGGAGGUCGGGUAUCGAGGAUGGUUUGAGUACGGGAACCACUGUUGGGUGUGUCUACGUUGACCAGGCGUCCGCAUUAAGCUGAUCAUCAACAUGGUUGUUUCUCGGGAACCGGAGAUAUCCAGGUUGCUAAGGAGUGGUGAAGUGGGCAAGGGGGGAACGAUAACAGAUAAACUGUAACAUUGUUAGUCUUUCACGGCGAUUUUGUUUUACGACCGUUAUGGGUCGUUUUUGAGUACCAUCCUGGCACACCA